CGGGGGGCAGGUGGGGAGCAGCCGGGGGGCAGCCGGGGGGCAGGCGUGGAGCAGCCGGGGAGCAGCCGGAGGGGGGGCAGCCGGGGGACAGCCGGGGAGCAGCCGGGGAGCAGCCGGGGGGCAGCCGGGGGUGGGGGGGCAGGCGGGGCCUGGCGGGCCGCGCGCGGGGUCUCCGGGACCAAGACCUGGAAGCGGGUGCGCAGGGCGCGCUGGUCCUCCCCAGGGUCCCCGCGGCAGCGGCGGGCGCCGGACAAGGGUCCACCCGAGCGCGUCGCCGGGGUGGGGGGCGGCGACAGCGCGCGCCCAGGGCCCCUCCCGGCCCGGCGGGACCCGCACCCCGCCUCGCCGAGGAGGCCGCGGGCCGCCGGGUCAGGGGGCGUCGGGGCCGCGGAGGGAGGCCGGGCGCGUGGCGCGGGACCCCGUCGCCGACCCGGGCGCCCGCCGCUGCAGGGGCUCCCCGGCCGCACAGCGCAGCACCCCCGGGCCGGGUCACCCCGAGUCGCGCUGGUCGGGCCCCCGCGCCGCCCCCCGCGCACGGCGCACACACGGGGGGGGCGACGCCUCGCUCCUCGGGCGGGGACACUGCGGCCUCCCGCAGCCGCCCCCCGCGGCCAGCCGCGCCCUCCCCGCUCACACCGGCGGCGACCGCAGCCCCGGGAACUCGAGGACCCGAGGCGCGGCUCCGAGCUCCGAGGGUCUCCGGGCCAGUGUCGGCGCGUCCCCAGCUCGCGGCCGCGGUCCCCGGGACGCCUCCCCCUGGCGGCCGGGUCCUCGGCCCACCCGCCCCUGCGCCCCCGCCCCACGCCCGCGUCCCGCGCUGUCACCUGCUCCUCGUCCAGAAGAGCCGGGGCCGGAGCCCACCCCGCGGCCGCCCGCCACUGGCCGCCGCGAGCCUGUCUGCUUGGGCCCCGCUCCGCCGGGCCGGCUGUUCCCCGGGCCCGAUUCCGCCGCGGCGACGGGGAUCCUAAUAGGAAGCCGACAGCCACCUCCGCGGGCGAGGCCCGAGGCUGCGACCGCAGGGACCCGCCGACCCGGGGUCCUGCCGCGCCGUCCCCGCGCCCCCGCGGCCCGGAGCGAGGGUGCCGCCCGCCUGGACCGCGGACAUCCCCGCGCACUCCCGCCGCCGCCACAGACGCGAUCGGUCGCCGCGGGGAGGGAGGGAGGGACGCAGGGGGGAGGGGGGAGGGAGGGAGGGAGGGGCGCCGGGGACCGUGUCCCGGGUCCGUCCGGAGCCGCCGGCGCAGCGUCCCGGGAGGCCCGGGGCGGCCGCCCAGGGCCGCGCUCCCUACCUCGGCGCGGCGCGGUCGGAACAGCGGCAAGUUCGGCCGCGGCUGGAGCCCCCGCCUGAUGCAGCCCGUGCGGGCCGCGACACAAAAGGGAGAGCGCCCGCGCCCGCGCUCCGCCGCCCCCCGCCCCGGCCGGAGCCCGGCACAUGACAGCGGCUGCACCGCGCGGCUCCGACGCGACUCGGGCUCCAGCCGUGCGCCCCGAGAGCUGCCCCUUCCCGGGAGCCCCGAGGCCACGGCUGCGCGCCGGGCCGGGAGCCCUGCGGGGGAACGCGGCGAACCUGGGGGGGGGACCCUGGAGUGCGACCCGCCCCCGGGAGGGCGCCGCAGGAGGGGCGCGGGGCGCGGGGCGGGGGGGCUGAUUGUCGGCGGCGGCUCCCCGGGAUCAUCCCUAAGCACGCGCACGUCACGCAGCCUCCCGGCGGUCCCCGAUCGACCCGCAGGCUGCGCGGACUCCAGGAGGGGGGCGGGCGCGGGGGGAUGCUCACCUCGGGCUCCUCCGGCCGCCGCUCCGGGUCCGAGGCGGGGUGGGGGAAGGGGGCAGGGAAGGGGAAGGGAGGGAGGAGGCUCCGAGACCGACUCCUGCCGCGAGUUCCGCGCGUCCCGGCUGCGGAGGGGACCGGGCGCCCCAGCGCAGACCCAGCCGCGAGGGGAGGAGGGAGGGAGGGGAGGGAGGGGCGGGCGGGGGGGAGGGAGUAGAGGAAGGAAAAAAAAACCCGAUCCCUGCUCUGACACAGGGAAAGAGAAUGUAGGCGAGUGA
rnacentral:lncRNA from 1 species